rnacentral:tmRNA from 1 species
GGGGGUGAUUUGGUUUCGACAGGGAUGAAGGGGAUUGCUGAUGCAUGCCGAGGAGAUUACCUGCUCGUUAAACAUGGUGAUAACUAAAUCUAAACGCAAAUUAUAACUUUGCAUUAGCUGCAUAAAUUCAGCUACGUUCCUGUUUGUUUCGCUGUUAGAGCAUUCAGAUGAACGACAUAAAUAACAGCUAUAGAUGGUAGAUACCUAUAAUAUCGUCCGAAAACUUUUAGGCUGGCUUGACUGUCUGGUUUGACUGUUUUUCCUUCAUGAUAGCGAGACUUAAAAACAGCUAAGCAUGUAGAUUCGGCUUUUGCCUUAUUUCUGGACGCGGGUUCGAUUCCCGCCACCUCCACCA